GUCUGCAACUCGAGUGCAUGAAGCUGGAAUCGCUAGUAAUCGCGAAUCAGAAUGUCGCGGUGAAUACGUUCCCGGGUCUUGUACACACCGCCCGUCACACCAUGGGAGCCGACAACGCCCGAAGUCAGUGACCUAACCGAGAGGGAGGAGCUGCCGAAGGCGGGGUUGGUAACUGGGGUGAAGUCGUAACAAGGUAUC
rnacentral:rRNA from 1 species